UGGUCCGAGGAUGAAAGGCGCUUCGGCGUCCCCUGGGGAUGGCUUUGCGGUGCAUUAGCUAGUUGGUGGGGUAAUGGCCCACCAAGGCGACGAUGCAUAGCCGACCUGAGAGGGUGAUCGGCCACACUGGGACUGAGACACGGCCCAGACUCCUACGGGAGGCAGCAGUAGGGAAUCUUCCACAAUGGACGAAAGUCUGAUGGAGCAACGCCGCGUGAACGAUGAAGGCCUUCGGGUCGUAAAGUUCUGUUGUAAGGGAAGAACAAGUGCCGCAGGCAAUGGCGGCACCUUGACGGUACCUUGCGAGAAAGCCACGGCUAACUACGUGCCAGCAGCCGCGGUAAUACGUAGGUGGCAAGCGUUGUCCGGAAUUAUUGGGCGUAAAGCGCGCGCAGGCGGCCUCUUAAGUCUGAUGUGAAAGCCCCCGGCUCAACCGGGGAGGGCCAUUGGAAACUGGGAGGCUUGAGUAUAGGAGAGAAGAGUGGAAUUCCCGUGCAGCGGUGAAAUGCGAGAGAUGUGGAGGAACACCAGUGGCGAAGG
rnacentral:rRNA from 1 species